rnacentral:lncRNA from 1 species
GCCCGGGGCGCACGCGGCUGGCAAAGAGCGCGCUUGGCCCGGGCGUGGGCCCUGAGUCGUUGUGCGGCGCCACGAAGAGCAGGUGCGCGGCGGUGAGCAGCAGACGCUCGCGCGGCUCCCGCGUCUCGAUCACGUAGAAGACCUUCUUGGCGCCUUCGUCGCGGUCCAGGAAGAAUGAAGGAGUGAGCUAGGAAUUAAGAGCCUUGCAGCUGCUGUGAAAGGGUGCCUGCAGAACUAGGAUUCUUGGAACCAGUUGCUCUCUCCAGCUCUUUCCACUGCAGUGUACAUCCCUCUGUCUAUAAUAGGAAAUCCAAAAGAUACUUACACGGAAGCUUUCUCUACCCCGAACCACAAAUGAAGGGAAGAAACUGACAUCUCUGGCCUCCAUAUAUACUCUGUGUUCUGGACUUCAAAAUGGGAAUACUUAAGAGGCAAUAUUCUCUGACAUUUAUCCCAGAGGCCAUGGACUUCCCAGUAGAAAAAUCCUAAAGAACUCAGGACAAUUGAACUUGAAGAAGCCAUGAAUAUACUAUUGUGACUGGGCUAUAUCUCCAGUGUUCCAGUGAGAUGAGGAAAGCAGAAGGGCCUCUCCUUUAGGCAUGAUAUACCCUAGCACUUGCCAUUCAGCCUUGCAUUGUUCAUAUCAGAAGUAUGUGUUCUCUCCAAUACACAGAUCCAUGACUCUGAGUAAUUAAUUGUGUGUGGAAUUGCUAAUGAAUAAAGCCUCCAAGCUGUGGAAAGCAACUUUCCCUG